rnacentral:lncRNA from 1 species
GGAGGCUAUAUGGUUGAAGAACUUCAUUGGAGACCUUGGAGUUAUGCCUGUUGGAUUAGUGUCUAAGCCCGUAACCAUAUUUGGUAAGUACUUGACCCGGUUGUGCAUGGUCCUUUUGGGUUGCCUUCACCAAAGCAACUUGACUGGAGAAAUAAAUAGAGAAAGAGGUUAUUAUGAUUUAUUAAUAUGUUAUAAGAAUAAUAUAUUAAAGGAGAAAUCAUAUUUGUUUAAUUAAUAUUGGUCAAUAAUUAAUUAGGAAUUAAUUUUGUGAUCAAGUGUAAUUAAUUAAACUAGAGGGGCUGAAUUGUAAUUAUGUGAUAGUUGCAAAAUAGGGCAAUGGUUAUCCUUGUUAAAGGAUGGACGAAUUCAAGGAUAAGGAUAUCCUUAAAAUCGUCCAAGGUCCAAGAGAUAAGGGUUUUCAAGGCUUAUCUUNCACUUGCUUCUAAGAGCUCCCAAGGACGAUUUCUACCUCCUCCCUUCUCUCUCUAUAGCCUCUCCAAUUGCUUGUGGUGUUUGUGAGCCAUUAGAGGCACUACACUUGUGGUGCUUGCUUUCAAGACUAAGGGUUUGAAGAUUUAAGUUGUUAUUGCAAUAUAACAACAAGAGGUAUGUGAUCUAACCUUAUAUAUGAAUUUCGAAAAUAGCAUGCUACAUUAGGGUUUUAUCCAUGUGUUCAUAAUGUUGUGUAUCUAAUAGUGAAAACAUAGAUCCAAAUUAGGGUUGCAUGCACACAUAGGAUUGUUUGUAUAAAACCCAUCAGUGGUAUCAGAGCCUUUGGUUCACUUGUUUUCAAUUAGUAUUAUUCAAUUGUAUGAACUUGACAAAUUAGGGUUUAUAGCCAAUAAACCCUAGGAGGCCAUAGAUUUCGAGAUUAGGGUUUCCUAACCCUAAUUUGCGAAAAUCUUGAAAGGGUUUUUGAAUCCUUUCCUUUUAAUCCAAGAUUUCGAAAUCUAGGGUUUGCAAACCCUUAGAUUUCGAGAUUUGCCUCCUUCCCCAAGAUAAGAUCCUAAAUUUUAGGGAUUUGGAUAAUCCCAUAUCUUGUAAUUAUCUUUUAAUAGUUAAAUAUGGUAAUUAAAGAUUUUGUAUUAUCCCCUCCCAUUAUUUUCGAAAUUUAGAGGGAUAAAAGGGAUUAGGAUAAGUUAAUUGUUUAAAUGGUAAUUAUCCUCAUGAUUUAGAUAAUCCCUUAUGAUUUAAUAAUUUAAAUUAAUAGUUUAAUUUGUGAUAAUUAUUAAAUCAAGAGUUUUAAUAUUUAAAAUUUUAAUUUAAAUGGUAUUAAAUUUCGAAAAUUUUAAAUUGAAGAUUAAAACCCUAGUAUUUUGAAAUGUUUAAAAUACACCAUAUCCUAUUAUAUUAUUACAAGCUAAUAAAUAUAUAUGUAUAAGAAAAAUGCUAGUCUUACCGUUAGUAGGCCUCAUUCACAAAGCCGGUCUAUAAGGUGGGUAUAAGGUUGCUGCCUAUAAAAUGGCGCUUAAUGGGUGUACACUCACACCCACUGCUUGCUUGACUGGUGGAGGGUCGUUAGCCGAACGGGUAGGAUAGGGCAAUCCUCUCCUCAUUAAUAAGUAUAAUGAAUCUAUAUAAAGUAACUAAACAUUUUUUUAAAAUUCCCAAUCCUAGUUACUUUAGGCAAAAGUGUAAUUGAUGCAAUCCCAUGAAAUUACACUUUGCACCCUUGCUAAGAGGUUAGUGGAGCGUGUGUGGUUUACCGGCACACUAAUUGGUUCUAAGCAAAGGUGGAAAAGAAUGAUUCAUUGUUUAUCAUAGUUCGAUGGAGCAUGUGUAGUUUAUCGGUACAUCAAAUAGGUGAUUGUUACAAUGAAGGCACCGUGUGAAUUUGCAUGGUUAUUCACACCCACUUUGUGAUCCUCGGUAUCCCAGUCACAAACGAGAGGGGCAUAUUGAGAUUUAAACAUGCCAUUGAAAAGUUCAAUGAAUCUCAUCGAAACCUAGGAAUUCUCAAUACAUUUAGAACUUAAAGUUAUGUUUUCAUGGUGGAGAAUUAGUGAAUCGUCAUUCACUUACCUUCAAAUUGUUUGCAUGUUAGAUUACGGCAUCCCUUUUCUAAUAUGUAAAUAUUGUUGUUGGAUCCUAGCCCUAAUUUUUCUUAUUGGGUGAUAAUUAGGGAUUCAUAUUCUAAUCUAUCUUUGUCCUUUCUAUUUGUAGAUGUCGAACGCAAACAACGCUGCUGCUAGUUCUUUCACAUUGAUGAGCCUUUGUCAAAAGGUCACUUUCGAUGGGACGAACUUUAGCGAAUGGAUAAGAUACAUUCACACGAUUGCUCGCUACGAGGACAAGGAGUAUGUCCUCGAUGAGAAGCUCGAGAAUAUCAACCCAGAAAUCGCUACUCCAGCUGAAAUGACUGCUUUUGAGACUCAUGAACCUGAUGCAACAAAGGUUCAUUGCAUCAUGAUAGCCACAAUGAACCCUGAAUUCGAAAAGUCCUAUGAGGACAUGUAUCCGUACGAAAUGCACCAAGACUUAUUGGAGAGAUACCAUCAAAACGCGAGGCAGGAACGUUACGAGAUCUUCACUAACAUGAUCUCCGCUAAAAUGGGACAUGGAGAAUCUCUAACCGUGCACCUGCAAAAGAUGCAAAGGUAUGUCGAUCGUCUUCGCAAGUUGAAUGUUGACUUUGGGGAAGACUUGGCUAUCGACAUGGUGCUUCACUCCUUGCCUCCGUGUUACAAUCAAUUUAGGAUGACCUACCACAUGAACAAAGAAGAGGUCACCCUAAGUAAGCUCCAAGGUCUCCUUAGGGUUGCUGAGAGCAACCUCAAGGACAAGUCUGUUGCACCCACUCCCAAUCCACCCGCUGCUCCUGUUUUGGCCAUUGGGCAAGGAAGAGGCAAGAAGAGGAAGGCUCCGUCUAAGAGCCACCGCAAGGGAAAGUCCCGAGAUGGUUCCUCUUCUAGUGGGACCAAAUUUGAUCCCGCUAAGCCUAACCCUAACCCAAAGGAGGCAGAGUGCCACCAUUGCCACAAAAUAGGGCAUUGGAAGAGAAGCUGCCCAGACUACCUGCAAGCCAUCAGGGAAGGAAAGAUCAAGCCGUCUUUCGCAGUUAUAUACACAAUUAAAUCUAAUGAUUCAUCUCAUGCUAUUUCUUGGGUCCUUGAUACCGGGUGUGGUUACCACAUUUGUUCUGAAUUGUAGGGACUAAGAAGAAAUAGGGAUGUGGAGCAUGAAAGAAUCAAUCUAAUCAUGGGGAACAGAAGAUCGUCGCCUGUGACCAAGAUUGGAGUGUAUUCUCUAGUGCUUAGGAAUGGUUUAUGUUUAAAUCUGAAUAAUUGUUGCUAUUCGCCAGAAAUGGCAAGAAACAUCAUUUCAUUUCAUGGUUUGUUUAGACAAGGAUUUAGAUUUUCUUUUAAUAAUGAGAAUGAUUCUAUUUGUGCUUAUCUAAAUGGUGUCUUAUAUUUUGAAGCAAUACCAUGUAAUAGAAUUUACGAAACUGUUAUGAUUGUAGAUAACCAAGGAAAUGAUGUUUUAUACAUGGACUCUUCCAAUAGUAUGGAUAAAGCAUCCUUGUGGCAUUGUCGUCUUGGACAUGUCAAAAAGAAGUGCAUAGCCCAACUCCAGAAGGAUGGAGUGUUGGAGUCAUUCGACCAUAGGGAAGAUGACACAUGCGAGUCUUGUUUAUUUGGAAAGAUGAGCAAGUCACCCUUCACUAGUACAUGUGAAAGGGGUGAGGGUUUAUUGGACCUCAUACAUACCGAUGUAUGUGGACCCUUUAGAUCAACCAUGAAGGAUGGAAAUCGCUUCUAUGUGACUUUUACCGAUGACUGUAGUAGAUAUGGGUAUAUCUAUUUAAUCAAGCAAAAGUCAGAAACGUUUGAAAAGUUCAAAGAGUUCAAGAAUGAAGUGGAGAAUCAAUUGGGCAGGAAAAUCAAGAUGCUUCGAUCCGAUCGAGGAGGAGAGUACCUAAGUCUUCAAUUCCACGACUAUCUCAAGGAGUGUGGAAUAGUUUCACAAUUGACGCCACCUAGGACACUGCAGUUGAAUGGUGUGGCAGAAAGGCGUAAUCGAACCUUGUUAGACAUGGUACGCUCUAUGAUGAGUCGUGCUUCACUACCUAUCUCAUUCUGGGGGUAUGCCUUAGAGACUGCCGCCCAUAUCCUUAACCGAGUCCAUACUAAGAAGGUUGCCAAAACACCUCAUGAAAUGUGGACAGGGAAGGCUCCCUCGUUAGCAUAUAUCAAGGUUUAGGGUUGCGAGGCUUUCGUAAGACGAGAUACUCACGACAAGCUCGAACCUCGUAGUGAGUGAUGUAUUUUCAUCGGCUACCCGCAGAAAUUCAAGAGUCGAUUGAUGAAGGAACCUCUACCGCUGGCACUCAACCCGAGGAGGAAACUCCGGUUGAACCAAUUGACGAGUCCUUACCUCUUAGACGUUCCGAAAGAGCUAGAGUUCAACCCCAGUUUUAUGGUUUUCAUAUUACUACCGAAGGGGACAUGUAUAUUAGUGACGGUACACUAAUAAAUCUAGAUGAACCUAAUAGCUAUAAGGAAGCCAUGGCAGGCCCGGAGUCUGCAAAAUGGAAAAAGGCCAUGGAUAGCGAGAUCUAGUCCAUGUAUGACAACCAAGUUUGGAAGACCGUUGGGUGCAAGUGGAUCUUCAAGAAGAAGACCGACAUAGAUGGAAAUGUACACAGAUAUAAGGCGCGAUUGGUUGCGAAGGGCUUUACUCAAACUCCCAGAGUUGACUAUGAUGAGACCUUCUCACCAGUUGCGAAGAUAAAAUCUAUUAGAGUGAUGCAAGCAAUUUCCGCAUUUCAUGAUUAUGAGAUUUGGCAAAUGGAUGUCAAGACCGCUUUUCUUAAUGGGAAGUUGGCUGAGGAUGUUUACACAGCUCAGCCAGAGGGUUUUGUCAAUGCCAGGCAUCCCAAUAGAGUGUGUAAGCUUGAGAAGUCCAUUUACGGACUUAAGCAAGCAUCUCGCAGAUGGAAUCUUUGCUUUGAUGAGAAAGUCAAAGAGUUUGGAUUUGUACGAAGCGAAGACGAAUCUUGUGUAUAUGUCAAAGCCAGUGGGAGUAUAGUAAGCUUCCUCGUUCUAUAUGUCGAUGACAUAUUACUCAUAGGAAACGACAUCCCGACUCUGCAGGAGGUUAAGUCCUGGCUCGGGAAGUGCUUCGCUAUGAAGGACCUCGGAGAGGCUUCUUACAUUUUGGGAAUAAGGAUAGUAAGAGAAAGAAGUAAGAGACUAAUUGGACUUAGUCAGAAUACUUACUUAGAGAAGGUACUAAAACGUUUUAGUAUGGAAAACUCGAAGAAGGGAGAAUUACCGAUACAAAGUAAUGCCAAAUUGAGUAAGACUCAAAGUCCGAGUACCGAAGCUGAAAUAGCAGAAAUGAGCCGAGUACCAUACGCUUCCGCAGUUGGCUCAAUCAUGUAUGCUAUGACUUGUACUCGCCCUGAUGUAGCCUUUGCUUUGAGCAUGGUUAGUAGAUAUCAAGGGAACCCUGGCAGAGCCCAUUGGAUUGCGGUCAAGAAUAUCCUUAAGUACCUUCGGAGGACCAAAGAAUGGUUUUUAGUCCUCGGAGGGAGUGAUGACUUGAAGGUGCGAGGGUAUAGUGACGCCAGCUUUCAGACCGACAGGGACAACUACCGUUCGCAGUCGGGCUGGGUCUUUACCCUAAAUGGAGGAGCAGUGACUUGAAAAAGUUCAAAGCAGGAAACUGUAGCUGAUUCAAUGUGCGAAUCAGAGUACAUUGCAGCGAGCGAAGCGUCAAAGGAGUCGAUAUGGUUGAAGAACUUCAUUGGUGACCUUGCAGUUGUGCCUGCCAUAAAGGAGCCUAUGGAAAUUUUCUGUGAUAAUGAAGGAGCGGUUGCCUUGACCAAGGAACCAAGGGAUCAUGGUAGAUCUCGACAUAUCGACAGAAAAUAUCACUUUAUUAGACAUCGAGUAGAAGAAGGACACCUCGUGGUUAAGAGGAUAUCAUCAGAAGAUAACCCAGCAGAUCCGCUUACGAAGGGACUGAGUAGGGUUAAGCACUUGAAGCACGCUAGGAGCAUUGGGCUGAAGGAUGAUACUAGUUUAGAUUAGAUAGUUUUAGAAACAUAUAAUAGAUAAAUGUAAUUGACAUUUGAUGAUUAAAUAAAGGAAUAUUAUUUAUAAGUAAAGUUACUGUCUUGUGUUAAUUGUUUAACUAUUGUUUCAAUUUGCAUGUUUUGACUUCCUGAAUAAUUGAGUUAUUAAGAAUAAUCGAAUUAUUCGAAUGGUCCACAAUCGUUCAUAUGUUGGAAGUAGGUAUGAAUGAAGAUUGUCAUGAAUUGGUAUGUAGAGUGUCUAAAAGGUAUUAGACAUAGCAAAGGUUUGCUGCAACGUUCAUGAGUGCUUAUGAACAAGUUUUGAGCAUUGGAAUAAACCCGCGCUUGCUGGAAUCACUUUAUGGAAUGUGACAAAAGUGAUCGCAAGACGAUAAUAUCAUAUGGUCUUAAAACCUAGAUAUAUGGUUUAUUAUUUACUAAUUGAUUGUGCAUUGAUAAUGCGAAACCGCAUCAGUAAAUUGAUGUUAUAAAACGCAUUGUUGUGUAUAGUUGAUUAGUGGAUAAGUAAAUGCAUAUAAGUCGAAGUUUAUCUAUUACUUUUAUCCUAAGAGGGGAAAAGCGAUAUCACAGCCGCUCGAUGAUUUGAUUUGACUUAUGUUCUGGGACCGGUCAAGACUGAAUUGAUGUGUUCAAUUAAGUUCUAUGUCAAAUGAAUCUGAGAUCGAGAAACCAACUGCUGGACAAAUUAUUUUCAUGAGAUUCUCUGCACAAUAUCUAAACAGAGGAAUAUACGAUCCCUUAUCUAAAGGACAGGUUACUGAUGAGAUUAGAGUUCGACGGCGUCUUUGAGAGCUACGAUUGCUAAUCGAGUUGUACGUUACUUUUGUGGUUACUAGACUUAUCUAAGUGGGAGACUGUUAGAUUAGUGUCUAAGCCCCCGUAACCAUAUUUGGUAAGUACUUGACCCGGUUGUGCAUGGUCCUUUUGGGUUGCCUUCACCAAAGCAACUUGACUGGAGAAAUAAAUAGAGAAAGAGGUUAUUAUGAUUUAUUAAUAUGUUAUAAGAAUAAUAUAUUAAAG